UCCGUAGGUGAACCUGCGGAAGGGAUCAUUACCGACCCGCCGACACGAGUUGUUGCUGGUCUCCAAACGGGGGCACGUGCACGCUCUGUUUGUGCAUCCACUCACACCUGUGCACCUUCUGUGGUUCUGUGGCCUGGGGGACUCGUCCUCCUGCUGCGGUUCUGCGUCUUUACGAUCACGCCGUGAUAAAGUCUAAUGGAAUGCAUGCCGCGUUUAACGCAAUACAAUACAACUUUCAGCAACGGAUCUCUUGGCUCUCGCAUCGAUGAAGAACGCAGCGAAAUGCGAUAAGUAAUGUGAAUUGCAGAAUUCAGUGAAUCAUCGAAUCUUUGAACGCACCUUGCGCCCUUUGGCUAUUCCGAAGGGCAUGCCUGUUUGAGUAUCAUGAACAUCUCAACUCCUCACGGUUCGCCCGUGAUGAGCUGGGACUUUGGGGGUCUUGCCGGCCUGCGGGUCGGCUCCUCUCAAAUGAAUCAGCUUGCCGGUGUUUGGUGGCGUCACGGGUGUGAUAACUAUCUACGCUUGUGGCUUUCCGCCAGGUAACCUCCAGCCAUGGGGGUCACUGGAGCUCACAAACGUCUCUCCUCGGUGAGGACAGCUCUUUGAACGUUUGAUCUCAAAUCAGGUAGGACUACCCGCUGAACUUAAGCAUAUCAAUAAGCGGAGGA
rnacentral:rRNA from 1 species